AGUGAACGCUGGCGGUAGGCCUAACACAUGCAAGUCGAACGGCAGCACAGUAAGAGCUUGCUCUUACGGGUGGCGAGUGGCGGACGGGUGAGGAAUACAUCGGAAUCUACUUUUUCGUGGGGGAUAACGUAGGGAAACUUACGCUAAUACAGCAUACGACCUACGGGUGAAAGCAGGGGAUCUUCGCACCUUGCGCGAUUGAAUGAGCCGAUGUCGGCUUAGCUAGUUGGCGGGGUAAAGGCCGACCAAGGCGAGGGGCCGUAGCUGGUCUGAGAGGAUGAUCGGCCACACUGGAACUGAGACACGGUCCAGACUCCUACGGGAGGCAGCAGUGGGGAAUAGUGGACAAUGGGCGCAAGCCUGAUCCAGCGAUACCGCGUGGGUGAAGAAGGCCUUCGGGUUGUAAAGCCCUUUUGUUGGGAAAGAAAAGCAGCCGGUUAAUACCACGCUGUUCUGACGGUACCCAAAGAAUAAGCACCGGCUAACUUCGUG
rnacentral:rRNA from 1 species